UACAGAGGGUGCAAGCGUUGCUCGGAAUUAUUGGGCGUAAAGGGUAGGUAGGUGGUCUCAUUUGUGUGGGGUGAAAGCCUUGGGCUUAACUCAAGAAGUGCCCCGCAAACGGUGAGACUGGAGUACUGGAGAGGCUAGCGGAAUUCCCGGUGUAGCGGUGGAAUGCGCAGAUAUCAGGAGGAACACCUAUAGCGAAGGCAGCUUGCUGGGACGUUACUGACGCUAAGGCGCGAAAGCGUGGGGAGCGAACAGG
rnacentral:rRNA from 1 species